GCGAAACUCUAUGGAUAUGAUCUCAACCAAAAGUUUAAAUUGAUGACAAUUUAAACCUUGAGAGGUUUUUAAGGUGAAUGUCGAACAGUAACUUUAUGGUCAACUGGAAGAUUUGAAAGUCGCAAGGUGCAAAGCAAUGUUAAUAAGAAACUUCCAGCAAAUAGAGCUUGCCAUGCAACUUGUCAGUCAGGCAUCUUAUCGUCUGUCCUACACGGGUGAAAACAGGCUGCCAAGACUCACAAGAUUCCUUAUCUCCUCAAAUGGGAAAGAGUUUCUUGGCAUAGACUUCCUUGAAAACUUAUUAUAUCAUCUAAACCAGCAGAGUGUCACAUAGCAAUAUGGAUGUUAGGCAUCAACCACAAUGGUUAAGAUUAUAUACCAGAAUCUGGAGGUACAUAACUAUAUUCAUUUACAUGUAAAGGUAUGUGUUACAGAUAUCUCUAUACACUUCUUGCAGCAUAUAUGCAAUUUUCACCAAAUUGAUGGAUUUAGUGUUUGACUAACAUUUCUUAUCAGAUAAGAUAAAAAAAAGUAAGGGGAACAAGUCACCUACUAACG
rnacentral:lncRNA from 1 species